AUUGAACGCUGGCGGCAGGCCUUACACAUGCAAGUCGAACGGCAGCAGGGGGCCUGGCACUGGAUGCCGAGGCGCGCAGGGGAGAGAAGUACAGGGAAACAUGUGCUGGUGGGGGGGAAAGCCCGGCGAAAGCCGGUAUUAUAGCGCACGCGCUGUGCGGGAAAGAGCGGGGUACCUGGGCGCCACGCGCUAAGAGGAGCGGAUGUCGGAUUAGCUAGUUGGUGGGGUAAAGGCCUACCAAGGCGACGAUCCGUACCUGGUCUGAGAGGAGGAGCAGCCACACUGGAACUGAGACACGGCCCAGACUCCUACGGGAGGCAGCAGUGGGGAAUAUUGGACAAUGGGCGAAAGCCUGAUCCAGCCAUGCCGCGUGUGUGAAGAAGGUCUUCGGAUUGUAAAGCACUUUUAGUUGGGAGGAAGGGCAGUAAGUUAAUACCUUGCUGUUUUGACGUUACCAACAGAAUAAGCACCGGCUAACUUCGUG
rnacentral:rRNA from 1 species